rnacentral:lncRNA from 1 species
AACAGGCACAGAGAACCAGGGCGACGGGCGGGACGCCUGCACCGGGGUGAGGGUCUGGCAGUGCAGCGGGUGGAUCCAGACAGGCUUUUAUCAGCGAGGCGGGAGGAGACCUGAGUGAGCUCGAGGCGCAGAAGUGGUAGCCACUGAGGGACACGGGGCUGCUCUCUGAAAGUCCCGCCAUCAGCUCAUCUUCCCCGAGAGGCUUUGAUUGCUUGGGAGACGAGACUCAGUAAAGGCUGCAGGGGCCCCGUGGCUUCCCCACUCUGUGAAUUACUGCCUGUGGGCCCGGCUGGGUAAGGGAUGACGAUUCCAGCUCCUUAAAGAACUGGCCCCACCUCUAAGACAAUGCUCACUGCUUGUCAAAAAAAAAAAAGAGAGAGAACAGGUCGCCCUGGGGUGCCUGUUCGAAAACCUCCUCACUUCCAUUCUCCCAUUUGCGAAAUGGGUUGAAGUCCACAAAGCGGGCUGGGAAAUUCCCCACGAAGCCUUGAGAUGUGGCCCCCUCCACUCCAUGAGGAGUACCAGGCUGCUCUCCCUCGAUGUGUCCUCAGUGCCCAGCCCGGCCAGGCCCGAGGUUAGAUCGCGUGGAUACGGCGACAGUCCCCGCCCUCGAGGAGGUCGCUGUUUUUACAUCCAGGCUUUUAACGCUCCACGGGGUACACAUGGCUCCUGUAUGAGAAGACGUAUGGGCACACCCCUCAAGGAAGAGGACCGGUCCAACCAGCCCAUCC